AUGGUCGUCCUAGGGGACAAGACUCCAGAGGUUUGUCGAUUAAGGGUCAAGACUGGCUUAUUCUUGGGGAACAAAACCAAAAGCGGUCGAGGAGAGGCUACGCUCGAGCCAGUAGGACAAACGCCUCCAGAGAUGGAGUGGAAACUGGAGCGCGCCGCCCGGAGGAGGGUCCGCACUGAAGAAGAGAUUCUGUGGGAGGAUGUCAUGCGGGUGCUCGACAAAGACAUGAAGCAGAGGAGAGGUCAAGUUUCUCCCAAGGUAUUUAAUGUAGUUAACACUACAUACUCUAACUUCACCAGCCACUUGGCAAAGAGACUAUCAGCUGAAGUUCCUGUUGCCAGUAGCCCGAUUACCGCAAGAUGGCGGCAGAGCCAAGCUGGGGAUGUGGCAGCCCCUUCCUUUGGGGAAGAGCGUUCAACUACUGACCUCCCUGAAACUGUGCUGAAGAUGACUCCUGAGAAAGAGACCUUAACUCCAGGAUCCUGCAAGGAACCACUGAAGACCCCCAACAAAGAAAGUUCUGGGACAAAUAACUCUGCUUUCCAGUUUGGCAAGGCACCUCAUGCAGUGGAUAGAGGCCGGAAGGAUAAAGUUGCUUCAAAAGACCUGAAAUGCUUAAACCAGCUAUUUUCAACCCAGAACGUGGCUCAGCAGGUUAAUGGGAGCAUGCAGUUCUGUGAGGGAUCCCAAUGCACUUGGAAAGGCUGCAGCAAUGGAAUCAGAGAUGGAUACUUCCAAAGAUUGAGUGAUAUAAACUAUCCCAUACUCCAGCCAGAGGUGAAGAUUCAUCUUACAGGUCUUCGAAAUGACUAUUGUAUGUUAUUGUUGAGAUCAUGAAUUAAAACGCUGAAAUGACAGAAUGUAUCCUGUGCUGUAGCAUAAACUUGAAAUUUGAUUCUGGAAGAAGCAAAUGGCCUUGUGCCUCAUGCUUAAAUGGUGUACCAUCCGAAUAUGUUUACUACUGUGAGUUUCUCAUUGUAGAAUUUUCAUGUUCAGGAAUGGGCAUUGUUUGUCUUGGUGGGGCACAAGAAGCACACACUCUAAUAGAAUGAACUGUACAAAUGAUGACCUACUCCUAUGCUUAUAUUUUAAACGUGG
rnacentral:lncRNA from 1 species